UACGUAGGGUGCGAGCGUUAAUCGGAAUUACUGGGCGUAAAGCGUGCGCAGGCGGUGCUGUAAGACCGAUGUGAAAUCCCCGGGCUUAACCUGGGAACUGCAUUGGUGACUGCAGCGCUGGAGUAUGGCAGAGGGGGGUGGAAUUCCGCGUGUAGCAGUGAAAUGCGUAGAGAUGCGGAGGAACACCGAUGGCGAAGGCAGCCCCCCUGGGCUGACACUGACGCUCAGGCACGAAAGCGUGGGGAGCAAACAGG
rnacentral:rRNA from 1 species